rnacentral:rRNA from 1 species
UACAGAGGUCUCAAGCGUUGUUCGGAUUUAUUGGGCGUAAAGGGCGCGCAGGCGGCUACGCACGUCCGUUGUGAAAUCGCUCGGCUCAACUGGGCGGGGUCAGCGGAUACGGCGUAGCUGGAGCAAGCUAGGGGGCAAUGGAAUUCCCGGUGUAGUGGUGGAAUGCGUAGAUAUCGGGAGGAACACCAGUGGCGAAGGCGGUUGCCUGGAGCUUUGCUGACGCUGAGGCGCGAAAGCGUGGGGAGCGAUCCGG